GGAGCCAUGGGCAGACCCGAACCUGACCAUUUAUCUGAUUACCUCUCAGGAGCAGAGCAUGUCUUACUUCGGGUGCACUUUAGGAGUCGCCAGGCUCUAAGAGGCCCUGAGGCCAGCCUGGACAGCGCCUAAGGGCAAUCCCUGCCCCCUCCCCUACAACUGCACUUAGUUCCCCUUUCCCUUCCCCUGACUCAUCCCUGCUAGGGAUGCAAGUGAGGAGGCGUGGAGGGUGUAGCCUUGAGGAUUAGCGUGCACCCAGGUUGAUGGGGACAAAGAUAACCUUCCCCGGGUCAUGCAUCAGCCCAUUUGCCCUACACAGAGAAAAAAAACUCAGGGUGGGAGAGGUACUGAGUAUUUCCUUUAAGUGAGAGAGACAUGAGUACCUAAAACCAGAAAAUUGGUUUUGACUAUCAGGUUGCUUUUGUGUGUGUGUGUGUGUGUGUGUGUGUGAGAGAGAGAGAGAGACUUUAGCAGGAGUGGUUUCAGGAAUGAACAAGAAUGAUGCAUAAGUGGCCGGAAAAAUGGCAAUACUGUAGUUAACGGAAAUUUUGCAUGAAGGAAGAGCAGAGGAUUAUGAAUCUGAUCUGCGCAGAGAUUUGUGAUCCACAGAAGGGGCCACAAAACCUAAAACAUUUAUAUCAGACCCUCUGCCCAAAGCGGCCGCCAGCCCGGCCCAGACCCUGCACAACUUCCCCGCUCACCUGCGGCCGUCCUCGGUAAAGUUUAAUUUUCUGAGAUUCCCUCGUCAGUUUUAAAGCAGAGGAUAUGGGAUCACAAGAAUCCCUUAAUACUUUUCUUCCUGUGGCCCGACCCUUAAGAGAAGAGUUUAGGAUUUCUUUUCAUUUCCUCUUGUGACUCGGGGCGGUGGGGGGGGUGGCCAUGAAGAAGAGGGCCUUGAUCUUCACGCCCCCCCCAUAUCCGGGGUCCGCUGGGGGACGGGGCGGGAAGGCUGCACGGGAGGAAGGUCCGAAUCACGCCUCGUCCAGGUGCACCCGGGUGGGGGCAGCGGGAGCCGGAGCCUCAGCAGCAGGGAGCCCAUGUGCACG
rnacentral:lncRNA from 12 species